CAAAGAAGGCUGGAAACAGUUCAGGAAAGCCAUGGGAACCAGUCAUGGUAGAAGGAUUUGAACAUAAAAGGAAGGCAUGAGGGGCACGGGAGGUAAUAAAGAAUGAAGUGGAGUGGAAAUUCUUUGGGAGGACCAGGCAAAGCCACUUGCUAGAACAGGAGGAAGAGCACUACCAUUAUGGACUGGUGAAGGUUGGAGAAGAAAUAAAUCCAUUAUAAAACUGGCCAGCAGGACUGCACGAAGAACAGACUGGAUGGAAAGACACGGUGACAAAAGCAAACUGCUCCAAAGCCUCUCUUGGGAGAACAAGCAAACAACAAGAAGAGGAAGAUAAAUGGUGAAGGUAGAUGUGCAGAAGUAAGAAUCUUUGUUUUGUGUGGCUUUGUCCUCUUACCAUGCAUUAGCAGGCUUUCCCCCCAGUUGAUACUAAUGUUCAAUUAGGCACAAUAAAUCUUUCUGUCCUGC
rnacentral:lncRNA from 1 species